rnacentral:lncRNA from 1 species
GACACACAUGACCAAUGAAAGUACAAUAAACAAUAAACAAUCAGAUUUCAUAUUGUUCGUCAUCAAUAUGCGUGUGAUCGUGCCAUGGCGAUCUGCCAGAAAUAUACAUAGCUGAAUGAGUUAUUAGUGAUUCAUGGAAAAGUUGGUAGACAACCGUCAGUUGGGCUCUUUUCAUAUCUUGGGCUGCUUCUUUGGGCUGCUGCUGGUCUCCUCAUUGGGCUCGUCUCUAGGGUUCUCUCGCCUAUAAAUUUCCUCUAUUCCUCUGUUGUUUCUUUAUCCCAAAAUAAAAAGGUUGCAGCGAUCUUUGAUGCUCUCUAGAACAUUCCUCAAAAGGCUGUUGUUGUCUCCUCUUGUUCAAGUUCAUCUCAUCAAGCUGUUGAUCAAUAUAUUGUGCAGAUUCUUCGGUUGAAGAUCUGCUUCUGUUAGCUACUUGUAAUCGAUGAUUUACACCGUGUUUGAUACCUUGUUUGGGUUAAAUCUUUGUACUUAAUGAUUUGGUUAUAAAAGAUUAUCUCUUUUUC